GCUAAUCUGCGAUAAGCGCCGGUAAGGUGAUAUGAACCGUUAUAACCGGCGAUACCCGAAUGGGGAAACCCAGUGUGACUCGUCACACUAUCAUUAACUGAAUCCAUAGGUUAAUGAGGCGAACCGGGGGAACUGAAACAUCUAAGUACCCCGAGGAAAAGAAAUCAACCGAGAUUCCCCCAGUAGCGGCGAGCGAACGGGGAGGAGCCCAGAGCCUGAAUCAGCAUGUGUGUUAGUGGAAGCGUCUGGAAAGGCGCGCGAUACAGGGUGACAGCCCCGUACACAAAAGCGCAUGUGCUGUGAGCUCGAUGAGUAGGGCGGGACACGUGGUAUCCUGUCUGAAUAUGGGGGGACCAUCCUCCAAGGCUAAAUACUCCUGACUGACCGAUAGUGAACCAGUACCGUGAGGGAAAGGCGAAAAGAACCCCGGCGAGGGGAGUGAAAAAGAACCUGAAACCGUGUACGUACAAGCAGUGGGAGCACCCUUCGGGGUGUGACUGCGUACCUUUUGUAUAAUGGGUCAGCGACUUAUAUUCUGUAGCAAGGUUAACCGUAUAGGGGAGCCGUAGGGAAACCGAGUCUUAAC
rnacentral:rRNA from 1 species